CUACAACUACAUAGUGUUGAUUAAAACACAUAACAACAACAACAUAAAACAAAAAAAUAUUCUCCAUGGAUACAAAUACAAUUCGAACUAAUUUAAUUUUCACUGUUAAACACUCUACACCAUGGUUCUGCAACAACAUCAUAUGAUACUCGUUCCACAAUGUCAAGUGCUGCCUUUUGUAAGAAUAGGCCUCCAUCAGAUCUGCCAAGAGCAGUGCACCUACCAUUUCGAAGAUUAGGAUAUAGAGCCAAAAUAUUUAUCCUUCUUAUAGCACUUGUAAUGUAAUGACGAUUAUAUACAUCCCUGAAUUUCGAUACCAGAUCACCAUAAGAUAGUAUGAAUCAUACUUGCUUUUAAAUAUAUUCCACAAAGUUUUAGUCCAAUAAUCUGAUAUU
rnacentral:lncRNA from 1 species